AGCUGGUCGCAGUGCAGAGUAGAUAUAACUAAUUAAUCACAACCAGUUACAGAUUUCUUUGUGUCUUUUCCACUCUCACUGCUUCACUUGACUCGUCUUAA
rnacentral:Y_RNA from 1 species